rnacentral:tRNA from 3 species
GGCGGGUUAGCUCAGUUGGUAGAGCAGAGGACUGAAAAUCCUUGUGUCCCCGGUUCGAUUCCGGGACCCGCCACCA